CCUACGGGAGGCAGCAGUGAGGAAUAUUGGUCAAUGGUCGCGAGCCUGAACCAGCCAAGUCGCGUGAAGGAUGACUGCCCUGCGGGUUGUAAACUUCUUUUGUAAGGGAAUAAAGUGCGGCACGUGUCCCUUUUUGUAUGUACUUUAUGAAUAAGGAUCGGCUAACUCCGUGCCAGCAGCCGCGGUAAUACGGAGGAUCCGAGCGUUAUCCGGAUUUAUUGGGUUUAAAGGGAGCGUAGGUGGGUUGUUAAGUCAGUUGUGAAAGUUUGCGGCUCAACCGGAAACUGGCAAUGGAUACGGGAAGGUGGGAGGAGAGGUGAGGGAGGCGGAAGCGGGGGUGAAGCGGUGAAAUGAUUAGAUA
rnacentral:rRNA from 1 species